CUUGGUGCGUGUGGGCAUGUCGGAUCCCUGCUCGGGCAGCGACGGCAUGCCGCGCGCAUCUCCUCAGUCGGUGUCGGUUCAAGAGCGUGCUUGCCUUGGCCGGUGUUGGUUUUCUGUGUUUCGUACCUGUUGUGAAGGCACUCGUUGUCCCAAAUGUCCCUUUUCCGUCGUGCGUCGUGCCCCCUUGGGGUGGCGGCGUGGGGCGGACCUUGAAGACCCCCCGAGUUCCGCGCACCGCGUGCUGGAAACAGCGCGUGUGCGUCGGGCCCCGGCGGCGUGCUCGAUCUCUUGGAUGCGGAAUAUUGCGUGGGCACGUGGCCUAAGGCCAUUAUCUGCCCCGAAACAAGCGUUUCACGCUUCGUGCGAACGACUGCCGCGCCCGUCUCGAUCGGGCCAUUGCGGCUCGCAUCGUACGGUAGCGGCGUCGGUGAGGAA
rnacentral:misc_RNA from 1 species